rnacentral:rRNA from 1 species
UAAGCAAUUAUACAGCGAAACUGCGAAUGGCUCAUUAUAUAAGUUAUCGUUUAUUUGAUAGUACCUUACUACUUGGAUAACCGUGGUAAUUCUAGAGCUAAUACAUGCUAAAAAUCCCGACUUCGGAAGGGAUGUAUUUAUUAGAUUAAAAACCAAUGCCCUCUGGGCUCUUUGGUGAUUCAUGAUAACUUCUCGAAUCGCACGGCCUUGCGCCGGCGAUGGUUCAUUCAAAUUUCUUCCCUAUCAACUUUCGAUGUUUGGGUAUUGGCCAAACAUGGUUGCAACGGGUAACGGAGGGUUAGGGCUCGACCCCGGAGAAGGAGCCUGAGAAACGGCUACUACAUCCAAGGAAGGCAGCAGGCGCGCAAAUUACCCAAUCCCGACACGGGGAGGUAGUGACAAUAAAUACUGAUACAGGGCUCUUUUGGGUCUUGUAAUUGGAAUGAGUACAAUUUAAAUCCCUUAACGAGGAACAAUUGGAGGGCAAGUCUGGUGCCAGCAGCCGCGGUAAUUCCAGCUCCAAUAGCGUAUAUUAAAGUUGUUGUGGUUAAAAAGCUCGUAGUUGAACCUUGGGCCUGGCUGGCCGGUCCGCCUCACCGCGUGUACUGGUCCGGCCGGGCCUUUCCCUCUGUGGAACCUCAUGCCCUUCACUGGGUGUGACGGGGAAACAGGACUUUUACUUUGAAAAAAUUAGAGUGCUCCAGGCAGGCCUAUGCUCGAAUACAUUAGCAUGGAAUAAUGAAAUAGGACGUGUGGUUCUAUUUUGUUGGUUUCUAGGACCGCCGUAAUGAUUAAUAGGGACAGUCGGGGGCAUCAGUAUUCAAUUGUCAGAGGUGAAAUUCUUGGAUUUAUUGAAGACUAACUACUGCGAAAGCAUUUGCCAAGGAUGUUUUCAUUAAUCAGGAACGAAAGUUAGGGGAUCGAAGACGAUCAGAUACCGUCGUAGUCUUAACCAUAAACUAUGCCGACUAGGGAUCGGACGAUGUUAUUUUUUGACGCGUUCGGCACCUUACGA